ACAUGCAAGUCGACGCGAUGAGGCUUAUCGGGAGUCAUCAGCGGCGAACGGGUGAGUAACACGUGGGUGACUUGCCCCGAAGAUGGGGAUAACCUGGGGAGGCGGGGGCUAAUACCCAAUGUGCUCGGUGAUUCGGUUCAUCGAGUAAAGCUCCGGCGCUUCGGGAGAGGCCUGCGGCCCAUCAGCUAGUUGGUAGGGUAACGGCCUACCAAGGCAGAGACGGGUAGGGGGCGUGAGAGCGCGGACCCCCACACUGGCACUGAGAUACGGGCCAGACUCCUACGGGAGGGAGCAGUAACGGAUAUUGCGCAAUGGACGAAAGUCAGACGCAGCGACGCCGCGUGGGCGAUGAAGGCCUUCGGGUUGUAAAGCCCUUUUAUGGGGGAAGAGAAAAAGGACGGUACCCCAGGAAUACGUCCCGGCUAACUACGUGCCAGCAGCCGCGGUGGGACGUAGGGGACAAGCGUUAUCCGGAUUCACUGGGCGUGGAGAGGCGUUGAGGCGGU
rnacentral:rRNA from 1 species